rnacentral:tRNA from 1 species
UCCGUGAUGGUCCAGUGGUUAAGACUCAGCCCUUCCAAGGCAGGGGAUGUGGGUUCAAUUCCUGGUUGGGGAA